rnacentral:rRNA from 1 species
UUGCUUGCUUUGGCUCCGGUCAGGGUGGCGGCAGCGGAACUACCCCGUGCAUCAAACUGUCCGCUCUAACAGGCCGAAGCGGUUCCCUGUGAGUAGACUCCUUAAUUGGGGUUGAAAGCGCCUACGCAUCAACCACAUGCAUACGGGACGUCGGCCAAUGUUACUGAGAACAAACCAGCGUGUCCAAAGCAGGCUUGCCUGAAUGUUCGAGCACGGAAUAACAAGGGAUCGAUUCUCUCGGUUCUUUUUGUUGGUUUUUAACCCGAGAAGGAGUAAUGCAGGCCACGGUGUCUGAGGUGGGCUUCCCUAGGCUUCGGUUUAGGCCCCAUCUAGGCCGUGUCCUUACGGGAUCAAUAGGGACUGACGGGGUCGUACCUACUUCCGCGUCAGAGGUGAAAUUCUUAGAUCGCGGGAAGAGGAACUUCUGCGAAAGCAUUCGACAAGAAUGUCUUCAUUAAUCAAGAACGAGAGUGUGGGGAUCGAAGAUGAUCAGAUACCGUCGUAGUCCACACUGUAAACAAUGCCGUCUCAGGAUUGAGAAGUGAACAGAAUGACUUUCACAGCACUAACCCCUGAAACGAGAAAUCAAAGAUUAUGGGUUCAGGGGGGAGUACAUUCGCAAGGCUGAAACUUAAAGGAAUUGACGGAAUGACACCACAAGGCGUGGAGUAUGCGGCUUAAUUUGACUCAACACUGGG